UGAGGUCUUUCCUAAAUAGAGCUUUCCAGCUGUCAGCUCUUGCCUCGUGUGUCCCUUCAAGUGCUAAGCUGUUGAUUUCUUGUCAGCUUGGCCUCUCCUGUGGCAGGCACGGGAGGCCACAGUGCACAGAAAGGAGUGCACGAGUGAGACAUGGAAAGUGCAGUGAUGGAUACAUCCCAUUCCAAACCGAGUGAGACUCUUGGCAUGUUCUGGAAAAGACCUUGGGUGUGCAAGUCGGGCGUCAGGUUCCCCAAGGCUCCAAGGAAAGAGAUGUCCCAGGCAUGAUGGAGGGGUGAAGGCUCUUGGCCUCCCUUGUAGCAGCUCCCAAUGCCGGCUGUGAAUGGGGGACUGCCCUGUUGUCACAGGAGCAGGACUCUGCCAAGGAAAGCAAGGGAAAGAGAGGGAUUCUAGUCUUCGGGGAACUGGGAAGGUGUGUUAGUGCUGGGGAAAGAAGGUCCCUGCCUGCCUUCAGUGCACAUUGCUUUUUUGAGUCUUGUAACAGGCACAUGACAGUUACCAAGUCUCAGGCACCCACAGAAUGCCAGGCGUGGGGCCAGGUGCCCUGACACACGGAGAGGCCAUACCAUGAGGCUUCUCAGGCUGCACACAGCAGAAUGCAGGUGUGCAAUCUGGGCUCCACACUUCCAAGCUAUAGCCCUGUCACCUCCUUUCUCUGAGCCUCCGCCACGUCCUCUAAAAUGGGGUCAUCAGUUGCUACCUUAACAGGGUCGGUCCUAUGAGGAUUAGUUUGGGUAAUGUGACUGGCCCAGCCUAUGGCAGGCCGCCAACAGAUACGGUUUGAAUCCAUUUGGAUCUCCAGGUUAGACUGUGGAGUUUUGCACUGUUAUCUCAAAGUCCCCCUUGAACCUAGCCUAAAUCCAUACUGUCACAAUUCCAGGAUGCUCCAUUUAGACAACUUCAAGGAGCAAUUGGAGUUGUUGUUGUUAUUGUUGUUGUUGUUGUUGUUGUUGUUUGAUAGCCACUGAGUGACAGAAAAACCAAAGCGGCCUAAACAAGCAAUCAAACGAGGCAGGAGAGAAUGAUUUACGUCCUAAGAAGGCUAAGGGCAGACAGUUUUAGGCAAGGCCGUAGCUGGGUGCUUGAUGACAUCAGUAGCAAUCAUCUUUCCCGACCUCUUGGCCUUGCUUACUUUCCUCUGUGCUGGUGUCAUUCUCAGCUGGGCUUUUCUGUUAGGAAAGCAAGAUGGCCCCCAACAGUCACCUUCAGCCUCCCAACAGAAAAAGAACCCCUCAUUCCCUAUGAUUCCAGCCCUAAGGUCAGGACCCACUGGGACCUAACUGGCACAUACCCAGUGCUGAGCCAAUCACUGUGGCCAGGGAGGAUGGCCAGAUUGAGGUCGUGUGACCACCCUCCCUAAGGAGACUCCCGAGCUGUUCAACCUGUUUUCCUGUGUGGGAGUGAACCUGAGAGAACAGAGGAAAGACGUCAAACUCAUAAGCACGGUGUGGAACUGGAUUACCACUCCCCCACAUUCGGUGCCCUGUAUCAAAGUGCCCUGCUCCUUUGGAAGAUUAUACAGCACGGCCCAUGUUGUCCUCAGGCAUGGCAGAGGGGCUGCUGAACAGUGAAAACAGAUGUGAGCACACGCGUGAAGAACCAGGACCCAGGCAAAGGGGCAGCCCACCGGGAUACGUGUCUGCCUCCAUCGCCUCCUCCAAGCUGUGUGACCAAAGCUGGCUACUCGCCGUCUCUGAGCCUCGGUUUUCUCACCGUGAGUGGGGCUGGCAGUGGGAGACCCUGUUGUGGAGGCUGACCUUGGGCGGCACCCCACCGCUCCGGGUGAACAGUCAGGAGCUUGAUAAGAGGGCGUUCCCUCCCCCAGAGAGCCCUGUGGGGCCCAGCUGCCUGCCACCCAGUGACUGAUGUUCAGGUGCUGCAGCGCGAAGCCAGAGCAAGUUUAUGAUGCUCUAGCUGGUUUUUAAUCACAGCAAGAUGAGAAUUUGGCAGAUUGAGACACCGACUCGUGCGACAAACAUUGUCUGGUGUCUCAUUUGUCUUUCUCUGGCUUCAGUGGUGAUGCAGGGGGUGGGGCUUCCACUCUGGGGAGCACCCCCCUCAAAGUCCCUCAGGCCUCUUCCAUCUGCCCAUGCCUACCGAGCACCAGCUCCAGCCUUGAGGGAGAGGGACGCAGGGACUGGCCUGCAAGGGAUCUCGGAAGCCCCUGCCAGGAGGCUCCCUCCGUCUGAGCGCCACUGCAUGCCUGGCACAGCCCACCUUCUGCUGGGUUGACUGUCUGGCCCGUCCCCCAGGGGUGUCACCGCCUAAGAAGCUCUGUGUCUGCGAUGGCAGAUGCUCAGAGGUGUCCAGAUCUCCUCCACUCAAGCGUCGCCUCCUCAGGGAAGUCCUCCCUGACCACCGUAGACAGACUGUUCCCUUCAUGGCUCUCAGGGCUGGGGCAGAGUUUUCCCCACUCUGUCUGUCAGUUGUCUGUCUGACCACUGACAGUGGUCACCAUCACCUGCAUGGCACUUGACCCAUGCUGGGGACCCUGAUAGGACAUUUACGGGCGUAAACAGUCCCGACAGCCUCACUUUUCGGACGGGACACAGAGAAAUUCAGGAGUUGCCCCAGGCCACACAGCUCAGAAAGAGCCAGACCAGCUGGUAACGUGUGGGCAUUCCUGGUCUGUGCCGCACUCCUCGGGGGGCGAGGACCCUGGCGGGCACUCCAUCGGCAUUUGUGAACUGUUGCCCUGGCAAAUGCUGGUCCACGUGCUGGGGGCCUGGGAGGAAGCUGUCAACUCUGUGCAUCAUGGACACAAGAAAGAGACGGGGGGGGGGGACAGCAGAAGAGGGAUGGCAUGUCAGCUUUGCCACAGAGGCUGAGUAAGAGUCCAUCUGGCAGAUGGGCGGAAGGAAGGGCAGCCCAGGCAGGGGGAACAACAUUUGCAAAGCACGGCAAGUGCAGGAAGCCUCGAUGAGAGUGGAGGGCCACCCAUGUGCAAAGCAUAAAGGUUGGGGAACAUGGCAAAAACAAAAUCACUCAGUGUACUAGACAGCUCAGGCUGAUAUGACAAACCACCACAAGCUGGGGGUGUAAGCAACACACAUUUAUUUCUCACAGUUCUGGAGGCUAGGGAGUCCAAGGUGAGGGGGGUCGGUGAGUUCAGUUUCCGGAGAGUUCUCUUUCUGGCUGGCACGUAGCCGCUUCUUGCUGUGCCCUCACGUGCCUGAGAGAGGAGCGGGGUCGUCGGUCUCGCUUUCUCUUCUCGUAAGGACUCUAAUCCCAUGGGGGCUCCACCCACAUGGCUUCAUCUAAGCCUGUUUACCUCCAAAUCCCAUCAUAUUGGGGUUAGGGUUUCAACAUAUGAAUUGUGGGGGACACAAACAUCCAGUCCAUAACACGCGGCUGUAUUAAGCAGAAAGAGUUGUAAUACAGGGGGUCAGGAGCCUGCCGACAUCACCAGAAAGUCUGGAGGUCCAGGCCCUCAGGAACCAGCCCAGAGCAGCACUGCAGAACUGGCCCGGAUCAGCCUCUGCCACAGUCACGAAGGUGGGGGUCAAGAGGCUGGCGCUGGGCCCCCAGAUGCUGCUGGAGGAAAAGCCAGACCCUCCUCCCAGACACAGGAGAUGAGGCAUAAGAGCAGGGAAGGGCCUGGGCUGGGGAAGCGGGGCGGGCAGCGGGGCACAUUGACCCAUGACUAUGCGAGGGCCCUGAAAAGCCCAGGGAAGGACAUCCCAAGCCCUCGCUGCAGGGAAUGAGCUCUCCAGCCUCUGCAAGGCAGGCAGGAAGUUGGUGUGGAUGUCCCUCUCCAGCACACCUCCCUGGGUGGUGGGGGCCCCAGAUUGCUUUUUCCUUACGUGCUUCCUGGGCUCUCCGGUCCCCUCUGACACUUCUCUGCUUAGGGAUGACAGCUGAGCGGGUAAUUCCCCCCAGCCAUCCUCAUUGUUCACUGCAGGGCCGGCUGGCUGUUCCCUGGGUAAGCUCUUUAAGACGAUUCAUUUGCAUCUCCCUUUCACCGGUGCCCUGCCCCACCCAGUGUAACUCUCCAAACCCACUGCUCUAGAAGCAGAGCAUAAAUCUGUCAGGCUUCUGCAGCGUGUCCCAGACGCUCGGCAGUCCAGGAAGUGCCUAUGGCUGGGCUAUCAGGCAGCUUUCCGGGUUCAAGAGACAGGAAGAGCUUUGGCCAAAAUCAUCCCAAGAGGAUUAGAGGUGGGGUGAGGGUCAGGGCGGCCUAGUGCAAGCGGGAGCCAGGCCAGCACGACGGGGGUUCAGGAGAGGAACUGGCAAACAGGCGUGUUGCCUCUGUUGGAAUAACUCAGCCACAGGUGUAGGCGUUUUCCAGGUGACAAAAUAUUGCAAACCUCGGGAAAAUAAAAAGAGCCUAGGGGCACCUCUGUGGCUCAGUCA